rnacentral:rRNA from 1 species
GGUCGGCUCGGCCGGAUUUUACACAAGUGUUGCAUGGCUGUCGUCAGCUCGUGUCGUGAGAUGUUGGGUUAGGUCCCGCAACGAGCGCAACCCUCAUCCUUAGUCACCAUCAGGUUAUGCUGGGGACUUUAAGGAAACUGCCAGUGAUAAACUGGAGGAAGGUGGGGAUGAUGUCAAGUCAUCAUGGCCCUUAUGGAGUGGGCUACACACGUGCUACAAUGGUGAUUACAAUGGGCUGCAAGGUCGCAAGGCUGAGCUAAUCCUAAAAAAUCAUCUCAGUUCGGAUUGUUCUCUGCAACUCGAGAGCAUGAAGUUGGAAUCGCUAGUAAUCGUGGAUCAGCAUGCCACGGUGAAUACGUUCUCGGGUCUUGUACACACUGCCCGUCACGCCAUGGUAAUUGGUUUCACUCGAAGCU